GUAGAGAUGCUGGGUGUGCGGGCGCGGCCGGCCUCCUGCGGCGGGAGGGGAGGGUCAGUGAAAUCGGCUCUGGCGCGGGCGUCCUCCCACCCUCCCCUUCCUUCGGGGGAGUCGGUUUACCCGCCGCCUGCUUGUCUUCGACACCUGAUUGGCUGUCGAAGCUGUGGGACCGGGCCCUUGCUACUGGCUCGAGUCUCACAUGAGCGAAACCACUGCGCGGGGCGCGGGGGUGGCGGGGAGGCGGGCGUUGGUACGGUCCUCCCCGAGGCCGAGCGCCGCAGUGUCUGGCCCCGCGCCCCUGCGCAACGUGGCAGGAAGCGCGCGCUGGAGGCGGGGGCGGGCUGCCGGCCGAGACUUCUGGAUGGCGGCGGCCGCGGCUCCGCCCCGGGUUCCCACCGCCUGAAGGGCGAGACAAGCCCGACCUGCUACAGGUGUGGAAACAGGAAGAGAACUAGAACUGGAAGUAAAGCAUUGAAGAUGUGACUGAAUUGCUGCAAUCUCAUGAUCAAAUUUGAAUGGAUGAGGAGUUGCUUUUUAGGGAUGAGCAAAGAAAGUGGUUUCUCGAGAUGGAAUCUACUGGUGAAGUUGCUGUGAACAUUGUUAAAAUGCCAAUAAAGGAUUUAGGAAUUACAGAAACCUGGUUGAUAAAGCAGUGCCAGGGUGUGAGAGAGUUGACUUCAAUUUUGAAAUAAGUUCCACUGGCUGGGUGUGGUGGCUCACACCUGCAAUCCCAGUACUUUAGGAGGCCGAGACUGGUAGAUCAUUUGAGGUCAGGAGUUCAAGACCAGCCUUGCCAACAUGGUGAAACCCCACCUCUACCAAAUUAGCCAGGUGUGGUGCACACCUGUAGUCCCAGCUACUUGGGAAGCUGAGGCAGGAGAAUCUCUUGAACCAGGGAGGAGGAGGUUGCAGUAAGCCGAGAUGGCGCCCCUGCACUCCAGCCUGGGUGACAGAGUGAGACCUUGCGUUUAAAAAAAAAAAAAAAGGAAAAGGAAAAAAAAGUUCUACUGUGGGUAAAAUGCUAUCAUGCUAUCAAACAGCAUCACAUGCUACAGAGAAGUCUUGUGAAAGGAUGUCAGUGUGGCAAACUUCAUUGUCUUUUAAGAAAUUGCCACAGCUAUCGUAAUCUUCAACCACCACCACCCUGAUGAGUCAGUAGCCAUCGUUAACGUUGGCGUAAGACCCUCCACCAGCAAAAAGAUUGUUAGCAUUUUUUUAGCAGUGAUGUAUUUAUCAAUUAUACAUAAUGCUAUUGUACACUUCUUAAUAGACUAUGGUAUAGUGUAACCAUAAUUUAUGCACUGGGAAACCAACAAAUUCAUGAGAUUCGCUUUAUUGUAGUGCUCUGGAAUUGAGCCUGCCGUGUUUCUGAGGUAUACCUGUGUAUUUAGUAUGUUCCUUGUAUAUAAAACCCCAUUUUAUAGGGUAGGAAACUAAGGCUUAGAGUUUGAGCAAUUUUCCCAUAGAUAACACCAAUAAAUUGAGGGCUGCAGAGACCACUUAAGUGGUUCUCUUAACAGUAGUCUAGACAUGACGUAAUGAGAUUUGGCUUAGGAGUGACAAUGGUAAGGAAGUUAAAGGAUUCAGGAACCAAAUACCAGUUAUUGAGAAGAAAGAAUGGCCUCAAAACAUCACUUCUCAAGGAAGCCUUGAUACCCUCACCCUUACUACACUGUAUCCUCCAUUUGAAUGUUGUCAAGAGCUCUUCUCACAAUUGUAAAUAAUAAUUGUGUAAUUUUGUUUUUUUUUUCCUACUUUAGGUUGCUCCUUGAGGGCAGGACAGUUCUUAUGGCUUUAUCCGUUGCGUAAGCACAGAGAGGUCUGCGAGGUCAAAACUAUUGUCAUGAUAGCAAGAUGCCUGUCUUUUUCAUUUAUUCUCACGGUGUGCAGAGGCUACAUGAUGUGUGAUGACAUCCUCAUUGAUGUUAAUGAAUGGUGCUAUACUUGAAUUUUCUAAGGUGUCAUUAGGUAGGUUUAGGUAUGCAUACUUGUUUUUAGAAAUUAUUUUUUUCCUUUUUCCCAUUUUUAGAAAUCAACUCAUUUUUUAGGUUAUGCCUUCAGUAAUCUUUGCAACCUCAAUAUUGUGUAAUGGUUACUUUAAAAUACUGUAGUUUUCUUUGUGCCUAAGUAUAAACAUAAGUACAUUUUGUUGUUUUGUUUGCAAUAGUGGUUUAAAUAUUUUCCCAAAAUAUCCAAAUUUAAAAAUUCUACAACUUUAGAAUUUAAUAAAUUUAUUCUAAAAUAUUUAUAUAUUUUUUCAUUUAAGAAUGGAUCGGCUUAAAAAGACUGCUUCUCAUUUACUUACUGGCUAUACCAUCUGUAUACUAAUAAAAAACAAGAUUUGAUUUGGAAGGACUGACUCAAACUAACGAAAAUAUGAAACCUGUCUUUCUGCUUUGGAGAUAUUUACCUAAUCAUGUUCUGCAGUAGAAUAAUUUAGUUCUUUUGUCUUUUUUUGGAGAUGAGGUCUUGCUGUGUUGCCCAGGCUAUUCACAGCUGCCAUCAUAGUGAACUACAGCCUGAAACUCCUGGGUUCAAGAGAUCCUUCUGCCUCAGCCUCCUGAGUAGCUGGAACUAUAGGCAUGCGCCACCAAGCCUGGGCUUUUAAAAAAAUUUUAAAAAGAAUUUUGAGACAGGAUCUUGCCAUGUUGCUCAGGCUAGUCUUCAACUCCUAGCCCUGAGUGAUCUUGCUUUGGGCCUCUCAAAAUGUUGAGUUAAUAGGCGUGAGCCACCAUACCCAGCCAAAAAUUUUUUUAGAGAUGGGAAUGGAAUGAUCUUGAAUAGUGUUGGUGCCACCUAUGUUGUGGCAUCAUUUUGAAACCAAUCAUUCAGAGUGCUUUUUUUGGUAAGGCAUUAUUUUUUAAUGCAGGUAUGCCACUACUGGGAAAAAAAAAAAAACAGGUUUUAAAGCUAGAAAUGAAAAGCUACUUAAGUAUCUUAAAGGAUAAGUUACUUUAUUAUACACUAGAAACAUACACAAUAGCUGAAAAACUUAAAAAAUCUCACACUGCUGAAUGUCUCUGCUGGCUGAAGUGUAAGUAAAAGAUCAUAGUAGUGCCGCUGUUGAGUGAUAAAGCAACUUGUCAUUAAAGAUGUGUGUGCAGACAUGGAUUCUGAGUUAAUAUCUCAUCUGUAGAAGUAUAUAUUUGUCCCUUGCUUUGGGAUUGGUUUCUGGACAGCACUCCCCCACCCUUGCUGGCCAUUUGCCAAGGACACCAAAACCCAAGGAUGUUGAAUUCCCUUUUAUAAAAUGGCGCUGUAUCUGCAUACAACUUACACACAUCCUCCCAUAUACUUUAAAUCAUUUCCAGAUUUCUUAUACUUCAUACAAUGUGAAUGCUAUAUAAAUAGUUGUUACAUUGUGUACUUAUAUUUGUACUAUUGUAUUAAAUAUUCUCAAAUAUUUUCAAGCACAUUUGGUUGAAUCUGCAGAUGCAGAACCUGAGGAUAUGGAGGGCUGACUGUGCUAAUACGUUAUCAAUGGAUGCGUGCAUAAACAUGGCUGGACUUGUUACUUGGCUUGUAUUUGCCAGGCAUCAGCACCAACUAGUUAAAGAUACUCUUACGUGAAAGCUUGGCAACAAACACAUGUCCUGAAAUAAUGCAAGUGUAGAAUAACUUUUUAAAAUCUCAUGGUUUAUGCUAAACUAUAUGUUGACAUAAGAGUGGUGAUAAGGCAACAGUAGGUAAAAGUAAAAUUUCAGGCACCUUGGCACAAACUGUGGCAGUGGCAUCAAACUCUAAGUUAUUUUUCACUGCCAUGCAUUUGUGGUGUGAACCCCCACAAAAGAAAAAAACCAGUUUCACUCAAGAAUGUCCUUGUGAAAGCAGUGACAUUUUGUUAAAUCUUAAACCCUACAGUACAUAACUUUUUGAAAUGGUUGUCUCAAGAAAAAGCACUCAUGUAAGCUGAAUUAUCUGCUAUUUCCUUGGAGCCUAACAACUGACAGCAAUUGUUUUCAAUGAUAAAAUCCAAACGUUGAGUCAAAAUCAGAAUUUCGGGAAAACUUGUGUCUAAUAUCAGGAACUUGACAGCUUCCCAAUACUUCAUGAGAUAGUGAUAUUGAAAAUAAUUUUUUUUUUUUUUUGGGACAUCUGGCUGACUGCAACCUCUGUCUCCUGGGUUCAAGCAAUUCUCCUGCCUCAGCCUCCUGCAUAACUGGGACUACAGGGAAGCACCAUUUUCCACAAAACUCUCAAGAAGGACUUGUUGCAACUGGAAAAGCAAUUAAAUGUGAAUCGUGAUCCAGGAGAAAGUAACAACUCACAUAACUCCCAAAUUAAAAGUUUUCCAAAGAUAUAUCAUUUUUUUUCUCUUGGCCUUUUAAGAAACUAGCCAACAAAUACUCUUGACAGGUUUGUGUUUGGUUUUGAAAACACACACCUUAGUGUACUGAAAGAAAAACAAUUUCUUUUAAUUUGGUUUGUUGGUCCCACACCCCAUCUAUCAAUGUAUGUGCUAUUUACAAAUAAGUUCUAUACAGUAUUUUUGCAGUACCUUUGAUAAUUCCUAGACCUCUAUUUUCAUUCUGUGUAUUAAUGUGAAUAACAGAUGGAUAUUUUAAUAUUUAAGGCAGAUGGUAAACUUUCCUAUAGGUCUUGUGAGACUUCGUCUUAUAGGCUGAACACCAUUCACAAAAUGUAAUAAUGCUUCAUUCCUUCAGGUUGAGGUAAAGAACUUGAGCAACUGGAUUAGCAAAGCUGCAAAGAAUGAAAUGUGGCCUAAGAUGUAAUUAUGUUCUCUGCCCUUCCUUUGGGCCAGGGUAGUUUUGCACUUGACACAAUGGAAAAUAGGCCAUAAAGCCUGAAAAUAAAAUGUUCUAAACCCCAA
rnacentral:lncRNA from 1 species